GAUGAACGCUGGCGGCGUGCCUAAUACAUGCAAGUCGAGCGAACAGACGCGGAGCUUGCUCCUCUGACGUUAGCGGAGGACGGGUGAGUCACACGUGGAUACCCUACCUAUCAGACUGGGAUAACUUCGGGAAUCCGGCGCUAAUACCGGAUAAUAUAUUGAACCGCAGGGUUCAAUAGUGAAAGACGGUUUUGCUGUCACUUCUCGCUGGAUCCGCGCCGCAUUAGCUAGUUGGUAAGUUAACGGCUUACCAAGGCAACGAUGCGUAGCCGACCUGUGAGGCUGAUAGGCCACCCUGGAACUUAGCCACCGUCCAGACUCCUACGGGAGGCAGCAGUAGGGAACCUUCCGCAAUGGGCGAAAGCCUUACGGAGCAACGCCACGUGAGUUAUGAAGGUCUUCGGAUCGGAAAACCCUCUUAUGAGUUAAGAACAAAUGUGUAAGUAACCAUGCACGUCUUGACGGUACCUAAUCAGAAAGCCACGGCUAACUACGUG
rnacentral:rRNA from 1 species